rnacentral:piRNA from 1 species
UCGUGGAACCCAGUCAGACGACGGGC